GGGCUCCUAUCCUGAGCCGGUAUAUGGUCUGGUCUAGUGACACCUCAUGGUCUUAGGACAGUCGAGGUCACAGGUUCGAUCCCUGUGGAGACCU